UACGAAGGGGGCUAGCGUUGCUCGGAAUCACUGGGCGUAAAGCGCACGUAGGCGGCUUGUUAAGUCAGGGGUGAAAUCCUGGAGCUCAACUCCAGAACUGCCUUUGAUACUGGCGAUCUCGAGUCCGGGAGAGGUGAGUGGAACUGCGAGUGUAGAGGUGAAAUUCGUAGAUAUUCGCAAGAACACCAGUGGCGAAGGCGGCUCACUGGCCCGGUACUGACGCUGAGGUGCGAAAGCGUGGGGAGCAAACAGG
rnacentral:rRNA from 1 species